rnacentral:rRNA from 1 species
AGUGGCGGACGGGUGAGUAACGCGUGAGAAUCUGCCUUGGGGUCGGGGACAACCACUGGAAACGGUGGCUAAUACCGGAUAAGCCGAUUGGUGAAAGAUUUAUUGCCCGAAGAGGAGCUCGCGUCUGAUUAGCUAGUUGGUGAGGUAAGAGCUCACCAAGGAGCGAUCAGUAGCUGGUCUGAGAGGACGAUCAGCCACACUGGGACUGAGACACGGCCCAGACUCCUACGGGAGGCAGCAGUGGGGAAUUUUCCGCAAUGGGCGAAAGCCUGACGGAGCAAGACCGCGUGAGGGAGGAAGGCUCUUGGGUUGUAAACCUCUUUUCUCAGGGAAGAAGCUCUGACGGUACCUGAGGAAUCAGCCUCGGCUAACUCCGUGCCAGCAGCCGCGGUAAUACGGAGGAGGCAAGCGUUAUCCGGAAUUAUUGGGCGUAAAGCGUCCGCAGGUGGCGAUUCAAGUCUGCUGUCAAAGCACGGGGCUUAACUCCGUAAAGGCAGUGGAAACUGAAUAGCUAGAGUGCCGUAGGGGUAGAGGGAAUUCCCGGUGUAGCGGUGAAAUGCGUAGAGAUCGGGAAGAACAUCGGUGGCGAAAGCGCUCUACUGGACGGCAACUGACACUCAGGGACGAAAGCUAGGGGAGCGAAUGGGAUUAGAUACCCC